UGAGAAGCGGCUGUACUUCGGAGGCUUGCUUGAAGGGGACUGGAGUUUUGGAGCGUGGUCGAGGGCUCAAGGCGGGAACCGAGGCAAGGUGGUCGGAAGUGGUUGUGGGCGUUGCCCUCCGGAGGUUGGGCGGGCCAAAAGGUCCGCUUGUCAGGAGUGGGAUUCGAACCCACGCCUCCAGAGGUGACUGUGACCUGAACGCAGCGCCUUAGACCGCUCGGCCAUCCGGACGGCGCGCCAGGGCGCGUUGAGGUUCGGGUCCCUGGGAGCCGGCGCCCUCGGCCGGUGCGUUCCGUGCGCAACCGACGGAUCGAGCGGGCAGAGCAGACACCGAAUGAACGCAACCGGCUGGCUCUGGCGCGGACGCCCCAGCGUCCCCACCCCGAACCCAACGGUCAGCCGAGUGCCGGGCGCCCCUACACGCCCCGCCCCCGCGCCUCCCCUGGCUGGACCCCGGCAGGGCGCGCGCCCUCCAGGUCCUAGGAGCAGCCGCCAGUCGGUUUCGCCCGCGCGUCUUCCUCCCGGCCCGAUUCCCGCGUUGAAGACAGCAGACAGGGCGCACGGGGAGGUUCCACGCCACUCGGACCCGGAGCUGUCGGGGUCCCGCUCCGGAUCCCGGGUCGCCAGGAAAAAGACCAGCCCUGGCCCGCGGCCGAAGGCCCAUGUGAGCAGGGCGAGUGAGGAGAAAGCCGACGGAGGAGACCUGCAGGGAAGAGCCAGGAAGGCGUUCGGGGUCCCUCGGUGUGUUUGGGCCAGGUAAGAGGGCGGGUGAGUGGUGGGGAGUGCGUCUGCCGGAAAGGCAAUUGGUAGAGGGUCGGGAGCGCUGGCGCACAGUCCUGGGCCAUUUCUGUGACUGGCGGUGGGUGGGUACAGGAAGAACGCACGUGCCUGUGAAGUGGCUGUCAGGAUCCGUGGCAAGGUGGUCCGUGGUUGCGGUGGGCUGUCUAAAAGGUCCGUUUGUCAGGAGUGGGAUUUGAACCCACGCCUCCAGGGGAGACUGCGACCUGAACGCAGCGCCUUAGACCGCUCGGCCAUCCUGACAGCACGCUGUGGUGCAUUGCCUUUCGCAUGUCUGGGAGCCGGUGCUCUUGGCCGUGGGUUUCAUGCCCAACCCAGGGACCGCGCGGGCUGAGCGGGCGCCAAGUGAACGCAAGCCGGCUCUCUCUGGCGUGGACGCCCGGCGUCCCCACCCCAGACCCAAAGGGUCCGCGGGGUGCCUGCCGCAGCUGCACGCUUCCGCCCCCGCAGGGCGCCCGCCCACCUAGUCCUAGGACCAGCCUCCUUGAGGUUUUGUCCGCGCCUCUUUCUCCCGGAGCGAUCUCCGCGUUGGAGACAGUAGACAGGGCGCAAGGGUAAGUUCCACACCACUCGGGUAGCUAUCGGGGUCCCUCCGGAUCCGGGUGUGAUCGCAGGGUGUUUUGUUGGGUGUUGGGGUAGGUCGCGCCACUGGUGGC
rnacentral:tRNA from 1 species